CGGGAAUUUUGCACAAUGGGCGAAAGCCUGAUGCAGCGACGCCGUGUGAAUGAAGAAGUCUUUCGGGAUGUAAAGUUCUGUCAGCAGGGAAGAUAAUGACUGUACCUGCAGAGGAAGCUCCGGCUAACUAUGUGCCAGCAGCCGCGGUAAUACAUAGGGAGCGAGCGUUAUCCGGAUUUAUUGGGCGUAAAGAGCGUGUAGGUGGCUUUGUAAGUUAGGUGUUAAAUUCAGCGGCUCAACUGCUGUGUGCACUUAAGACUGCAGAGCUAGAGUUUGGGAGAGGGAAGGGGAACUAACAGUGUAGCGGUGAAAUGCGUAGAUAUUGUUAGGAACACCGGUGGCGAAGGCGCCUUCCUAGACCAAAACUGACACUAAAAUGCGAAAGCGUGGGGAGCAAAC
rnacentral:rRNA from 1 species